rnacentral:rRNA from 1 species
AGUGAACGCUGGCGGUAGGCCUAACACAUGCAAGUCGAACGGCAGCACAGUAAGAGCUUGCUCUUACGGGUGGCGAGUGGCGGACGGGUGAGGGAUACAUCGGAAUCUACUUUUUCGUGGGGGAUAACGUAGGGAAACUUACGCUAAUACCGCAUACGACCUACGGGUGAAAGCAGGGGAUCUUCGGACCUUGCGCGAUUGAAUGAGCCGAUGUCGGAUUAGCUAGUUGGCGGGGUAAAGGCCCACCAAGGCGACGAUCCGUAGCUGGUCUGAGAGGAUGAUCAGCCACACUGGAACUGAGACACGGUCCAGACUCCUACGGGAGGCAGCAGUGGGGAAUAUUGGACAAUGGGCGCAAGCCUGAUCCAGCCAUACCGCGUGGGUGAAGAAGGCCUUCGAGUUGUAAAGCCCUUUUGUUGGGAAAGAAAAGCAGCAGGUUAAUACCCCGCUGUUCUGACGGUACCCAAAGAAUAAGCACCGGCUAACUUCGUG